rnacentral:rRNA from 1 species
UGCGGUAGGGGAGAUUGGAAUUCCUGGUGUAGCGGUGGAAUGCGCAGAUAUCAGGAGGAACACCGAUGGCGAAGGCAGAUCUCUGGGCCGUAACUGACGCUGAGGAGCGAAAGGGUGGGGAGCAAACAGGCUUAGAUACCCUGGUAGUCCACCCCGUAAACGUUGGGAACUAGUUGUGGGGUCCAUUCCACGGAUUCCGUGACGCAGCUAACGCAUUAAGUUCCCCGCCUGGGGAGUACGGCCGCAAGGCUAAAACUCAAAGGAAUUGACGGGGACCCGCACAAGCGGCGGAGCAUGCGGAUUAAUUCGAUGCAACGCGAAGAACCUUACCAAGGCUUGACAUAUACGAGAACGGGCCAGAAAUGGUCAACUCUUUGGACACUCGUAAACAGGUGGUGCAUGGUUGUCGUCAGCUCGUGUCGUGAGAUGUUGGGUUAAGUCCCGCAACGAGCGCAACCCUCGUUCUAUGUUGCCAGCACGUAAUGGUGGGAACUCAUGGGAUACUGCCGGGGUCAACUCGGAGGAAGGUGGGGAUGACGUCAAAUCAUCAUGCCCCUUAUGUCUUGGGCUUCACGCAUGCUACAAUGGCCGGUACAAAGGGCUGCAAUACCGUGAGGUGGAGCGAAUCCCAAAAAGCCGGUCCCAGUUCGGAUUGAGGUCUGCAACUCGACCUCAUGAAGUCGGAGUCGCUAGUAAUCGCAGAUCAGCAACGCUGCGGUGAAUACGUUCCCGGGUCUUGUACACACCGCCCGUCAAGUCAUGAAAGUCGGUAACACCUGAAGCCGGGGCCUAACCCUUGUGGAGGGAGCCGUCGAAGAAGAAAUGAACGACCGCCCC